rnacentral:rRNA from 1 species
UACAGAGGUCUCAAGCGUUGUUCGGAUUCAUUGGGCGUAAAGGGCGCGUAGGCGGAUGGCACAGUCAGAUGUGAAAUUCCCGGGCUUAACCUGGGGGCUGCAUUUGAUACGUGUUGUCUUGAGUUCGGAAGAGGGUCGUGGAAUUCCCAGUGUAGAGGUGAAAUUCGUAGAUAUUGGGAAGAACACCGGUGGCGAAGGCGGCGACCUGGUCCGACACUGACGCUGAGGCGCGAAAGCGUGGGGAGCAAACAGG